UCAAAUGAGAGUUUGAUCCUGGCUCAGGACGAACGCUGGCGGCGUGCCUAACACAUGCAAGUCGAGCGAAGAAUUUAUCAUGAAGCCUUCGGGUGGAAUGAUAAACUUCUUAGCGGCGGAUGGGUGAGUAACGCGUGAGGAACCUGCCUUCCACAAGGGGAUAGCCUCGGGAAACCGGGAUUAAUACCCUAUGAAACUUAGCAAUCGCAUGAUAUUUAAGUUAAAGCGUUAGCGGUGGAAGAUGGCCUCGCGUCCCAUUAGCUAGUUGGUGAGUUAAAAGCUCACCAAGGCAACGAUGGGUAGCCGGCUUGAGAGAGUGACCGGCCACACUGGAACUGAGACACGGUCCAGACUCCUACGGGAGGCAGCAGUGGGGAAUAUUGCACAAUGGAGGGAACUCUGAUGCAGCGACGCCGCGUGAGCGAUGAAGGCCUUCGGGUCGUAAAGCUCUGUCCUAUGGGACGAUAAUGACGGUACCAUAGGAGGAAGCCCCGGCUAACUACGUGCCAGCAGCCGCGGUAAUACGUAGGGGGCGAGCGUUGUCCGGAAUUACUGGGCGUAAAGGGUACGCAGGCGGUCAAAUAAGUCAGAUGUGAAAGGCGUAGGCUUAACCUAUGUAAGCAUUUGAAACUGUUUGGCUUGAGUUAAGGAGAGGAAAGUGGAAUUCCUGGUGUAGCGGUGAAAUGCGUAGAUAUCAGGAGGAAUAUCAGUGGCGAAGGCGACUUUCUGGACUUAAACUGACGCUGAGGUACGAAAGCGUGGGGAGCAAACAGGAUUAGAUACCCUGGUAGUCCACGCCGUAAACGAUGAGUGCUAGGUGUCGGAGGGUAACCUUCGGUGCCGAAGUUAACACAUUAAGCACUCCGCCUGGGGAGUACGUUCGCAAGAAUGAAACUCAAAGGAAUUGACGGGGACCCGCACAAGCAGCGGAGCAUGUGGUUUAAUUCGAUGCAACGCGAAGAACCUUACCAGGGCUUGACAUCCCUCGGGCCGUCUUAGAGAUAAGACCUUCUCUUCGGAGACUGAGGGACAGGUGGUGCAUGGUUGUCGUCAGCUCGUGUCGUGAGAUGUUGGGUUAAGUCCCGCAACGAGCGCAACCCUUGCCUUUAGUUGCCAACAGUUAGGCUGUGCACUCUAGAGGGACUGCCGAUGAUAAAUCGGAGGAAGGUGGGGAUGACGUCAAAUCAUCAUGCCCUUUAUGUCCUGGGCUACACACGUGCUACAAUGGUCGGUACAACGGGUAGCGACUUAGUGAUAAGGAGCCAAUCCCUUAAAACCGAUCCCAGUUCGGAUUGCAGGCUGCAACUCGCCUGCAUGAAGCCGGAGUUGCUAGUAAUCGUGGAUCAGAAUGCCACGGUGAAUGCGUUCCCGGGUCUUGUACACACCGCCCGUCACACCAUGGGAGUUAGCAAUACCCGAAGCCAGUGAGCCAACCGUAAGGAGCAACUGUCGAAGGUAGGGUUAAUGACUGGGGUGAAGUCGUAACAAGGUAGCCGUAUCGGAAGGUGCGGCUGGAUCACCUCCUUU
rfam:Clostridium ultunense Esp genomic scaffold, CTLT_3033